GCAACAAAAAAGCAACAGCAAUUGCGGGACCGGCAGCGGAAACAAGCUGCACACAAUGGAUCCAUACCCGAGCUGAAGCCCAAUACCCAUACCAUACUCAUACUUAUACCAUCCAUACCCAUUUCCAAUCCCAUUGCCAUUCCCAUGCACAUGGCAGUCCACGUUGGAGAUGCUAAAGCCUGGCAGGGCUUAAUUUAAAUAUUUUCAAAACCUAAAGCAUUCUUUCAUUACUUACUAUGUAUUAUAGUAUUAUACUAGUUUUAUCGGAAGGUUGUUGUAAGUCCAUAUAACUCUAACUAAGACCGAAGAAACCCCAGCCCUAUAGAAGUUGGCUGUAACAGUGUAAAACAAUUUUUUACUUCAUAUACAUAUCCCCCAAAUGGUAUAUAUAUUAAAUAAGAAAUCAUUGCAUUGAACGUUGACUGAAAAAUCGCCAAAUUGGUGGCACCGCCAGCCGCAUCCACAACCAGAGGCAGGCAGGGGCGAUUUCCGAACCAAGCCCAGAUCAGACUGUGUCCAUUGUUGCCACUGCAGCCGCUUCUUUUUUGCAAACUGUUUGCGGAUAAAUGGGCGAAAUUGGUAUAAAUGAUGGAAUUACAUUGUUUGGGGUCGCCACAUCGGGCCGAAGAGGCAACGAGAGCCACAUGCAGUUGCAUCCACGCCCGAAAAUUGCUUUUGGAGCCGGGGCUCCGGCUAAUUAUUGUAACCCAGUUGAAUCGCUUAGCCGACCAGCUCAUAACUGCUCUAUAAGCUGCUCGAUCUGUCGGCUUUUUAUCCGAUUCUCUUCGGUUAUUCGCUCCACAUUUUGCGAUGCGGCGGUUUAAAAAGAGUGAUAGAAACUAGUCCAAUGCGAUGGAAGACCGGAGGAAAGCCCAAGCAGCCGCUAAGGAGAAGCGGAAAUUAAUGAUCUGAACAAUGGAUUCAUGUAGGUAACAGCAAUUGAAAGUCGAGACACGAAUUGUGCGGUGUGCAGACAGGAAGAGGACAAUUGGAGAUGAUUCUAUCAAUAGAUACAGUUUGGGAAAGUAUGUUCAACUAAACAGUCAUUGAAUGAAAGCCGCGUUCCGAAUGGCUUUAAUAAUAGUUACUUGUUUUAAAACACAGUUGCCAGUUAGAUCGCACAAAGCGAUAUUUGUGUUCAGGCCAGUUAUUGAUUAAAGUAAUCCGAUUAAAGCGGAA